rnacentral:rRNA from 1 species
CAGUAGCCGCGGUAAUACGAAGGGUGCAAGCGUUACUCGGAAUUACUGGGCGUAAAGCGUGCGUAGGUGGUGGUUUAAGUCCGUUGUGAAAGCCCUGGGCUCAACCUGGGAAUUGCAGUGGAUACUGGGUCACUAGAGUGUGGUAGAGGAUAGUGGAAUUUCCGGUGUAGCAGCGAAAUGCGUAGAGAUCGGAAGGAACAUCUGUGGCGAAGGCGACUAUCUGGGCCAACACUGACACUGAGGCACGAAAGCGUGGGGAGCAAACAGGAUUAGAUACCCGCGUAGUCCCUGUCUCUUAUAC